AGAGUUUGAUCAUGGCUCAGAUUGAACGCUGGCGGCAGGCCUAACACAUGCAAGUCGAGCGGUAGCACAGAGAGCUUGCUCUCGGGUGACGAGCGGCGGACGGGUGAGUAAUGUCUGGGAAACUGCCUGAUGGAGGGGGAUAACUACUGGAAACGGUAGCUAAUACCGCAUAAUGUCGCAAGACCAAAGUGGGGGACCUUCGGGCCUCAUGCCAUCAGAUGUGCCCAGAUGGGAUUAGCUAGUAGGUGGGGUAACGGCUCACCUAGGCGACGAUCCCUAGCUGGUCUGAGAGGAUGACCAGCCACACUGGAACUGAGACACGGUCCAGACUCCUACGGGAGGCAGCAGUGGGGAAUAUUGCACAAUGGGCGCAAGCCUGAUGCAGCCAUGCCGCGUGUGUGAAGAAGGCCUUCGGGUUGUAAAGCACUUUCAGCGGGGAGGAAGGCGAUAAGGUUAAUAACCUUGUCGAUUGACGUUACCCGCAGAAGAAGCACCGGCUAACUCCGUGCCAGCAGCCGCGGUAAUACGGAGGGUGCAAGCGUUAAUCGGAAUUACUGGGCGUAAAGCGCACGCAGGCGGUCUGUCAAGUCGGAUGUGAAAUCCCCGGGCUCAACCUGGGAACUGCAUUCGAAACUGGCAGGCUAGAGUCUUGUAGAGGGGGGUAGAAUUCCAGGUGUAGCGGUGAAAUGCGUAGAGAUCUGGAGGAAUACCGGUGGCGAAGGCGGCCCCCUGGACAAAGACUGACGCUCAGGUGCGAAAGCGUGGGGAGCAAACAGGAUUAGAUACCCUGGUAGUCCACGCCGUAAACGAUGUCGAUUUGGAGGUUGUGCCCUUGAGGCGUGGCUUCCGGAGCUAACGCGUUAAAUCGACCGCCUGGGGAGUACGGCCGCAAGGUUAAAACUCAAAUGAAUUGACGGGGGCCCGCACAAGCGGUGGAGCAUGUGGUUUAAUUCGAUGCAACGCGAAGAACCUUACCUGGUCUUGACAUCCACAGAACUUAGCAGAGAUGCUUUGGUGCCUUCGGGAACUGUGAGACAGGUGCUGCAUGGCUGUCGUCAGCUCGUGUUGUGAAAUGUUGGGUUAAGUCCCGCAACGAGCGCAACCCUUAUCCUUUGUUGCCAGCGGUUCGGCCGGGAACUCAAAGGAGACUGCCAGUGAUAAACUGGAGGAAGGUGGGGAUGACGUCAAGUCAUCAUGGCCCUUACGACCAGGGCUACACACGUGCUACAAUGGCAUAUACAAAGAGAAGCGACCUCGCGAGAGCAAGCGGACCUCAUAAAGUAUGUCGUAGUCCGGAUUGGAGUCUGCAACUCGACUCCAUGAAGUCGGAAUCGCUAGUAAUCGUAGAUCAGAAUGCUACGGUGAAUACGUUCCCGGGCCUUGUACACACCGCCCGUCACACCAUGGGAGUGGGUUGCAAAAGAAGUAGGUAGCUUAACCUUCGGGAGGGCGCUUACCACUUUGUGAUUCAUGACUGGGGUGAAGUCGUAACAAGGUAACCGUAGGGGAACCUGCGGUUG
rnacentral:rRNA from 1 species